AUAGAUAGCUAGGGGUGCCAAUUUGGCUGAGAAGGAAAGUCCUAACUCUAAGAACCUGAUAUGGUUAGUACCAUCGGAGGGAAGCAAAUAAUAAGUCUU
rnacentral:ncRNA from 1 species